rnacentral:lncRNA from 1 species
UGUUGUUCCUCAGCUGAAGCGAGCUUGUGAACAGCAACUUGAGCAUGGCUUGCUUACUAUAGAAAAUGUAGUUGAUGCCUUCCAGCUUUCAUUACUGUGUGAUGCGCCUCGACUAACGCUGAUCACUCACCGUAUGAUCAUAAUGACCUGCAAGGCCGUUCGCGAAACUGAAGGGUGGAAAGCAAUGAAGAAGAGCAAUCCAGCACUUGAAAAAGAACUUCUUGAAUCCAUGAUGGAUGAAGAACAUGGGAGGGAUAUCAUGGUAAGGCUGCUUCACCUUGUAACCUUGGGUUCUAGCAGUUUGACCUAAAUCUCUAAAUGCAAAUUUUGCAGAUGCAAAAGGAGAAAAACAGGAAAUCAAAUGAGCAGAGGAUCUACCUUCAAUUAUGUGAAGCAAUGGAGGCUCUUGUUCACAUAUUCAGAGAUGGUUGCAGGACAAUUGGACCACAUGAUAAGGAUUUGAAAGAACACCAAACACCAUGCGAUUAUGGAGACUGUUGCAAAGGGUUAGAAUUG